rnacentral:tRNA from 1 species
GCGCAGGUGCUGGAAUUGGUAGACAACCGGGCCUCAGAAGCCCGGGCCCGCGAGGGCGUGAGGGUUCGAGCCCCUCCCUGCGCA